AAAAAUGGCCAUGCCACCCUGAACGUGCCCGAUCUUGUCUGAUCUCGGAAGCUAAGCAGGGUCAGGCCUGGUUAGCUUGGAUGAAAGACUACCUAGGAAUACCAGGUGCUGUAAGCA
rnacentral:rRNA from 1 species